rnacentral:rRNA from 1 species
GGCGUGCCUAAUACAUGCAAGUCGAGCGGACAGAAGGGAGCUUGCUCCCGGAUGUUAGCGGCGGACGGGUGAGUAACACGUGGGUAACCUGCCUGUAAGACUGGGAUAACUCCGGGAAACCGGAGCUAAUACCGGAUAGUUCCUUGAACCGCAUGGUUCAAGGAUGAAAGACGGUUUCGGCUGUCACUUACAGAUGGACCCGCGGCGCAUUAGCUAGUUGGUGGGGUAAUGGCUCACCAAGGCGACGAUGCCGUAGCCGACCUGAGAGGGUGAUCGGCCACACUGGGACUGAGACACGGCCCAGACUCCUACGGGAGGCAGCAGUAGGGAAUCUUCCGCAAUGGACGAAAGUCUGACGGAGCAACGCCGCGUGAGUGAUGAAGGUUUUCGGAUCGUAAAGCUCUGUUGUUAGGGAAGAACAAGUGCGAGAGUAACUGCUCGCACCUUGACGGUACCUAACCAGAAAGCCACGGCUAACUACGUGCCAGCAGCCGCGGUAAUACGUAGGUGGCAAGCGUUGUCCGGAAUUAUUGGGCGUAAAGGGCUCGCAGGCGGUUUCUUAAGUCUGAUGUGAAAGCCCCCCGCUCAACCCGGGGAGGGUCAUUGGAAACUGGGAAACUUGAGUGCAGAAAAAGAGAGUGGAAUUCCACGUGUAGCGGUGAAAUGCGUAAAAAAUGUGGAAGAACCCCAGUGGCGAAGGCGACUCUCUGGUCUGUAACUGACGCUGAGGAGCGAAAGCGUGGGGAGCGAACAGGAUUAGAUUCCCUGGUAGU